rnacentral:miRNA from 1 species
GUGGGACGUAGCCUCACAGUGG